rnacentral:rRNA from 1 species
UACGUAGGGGGCAAGCGUUGUCCGGAUUUAUUGGGCGUAAAGAGCGUGUAGGCGGCCAGGUAGGUCUGCUGUGAAAACUCGAGGCUCAACCUCGAGAGGUCGGUGGAAACCGUCUGGCUAGAGUCCGGAAGAGGAGAGUGGAAUUCCCGGUGUAGCGGUGAAAUGCGCAGAUAUCGGGAAGAACACCCGUGGCGAAGGCGGCUCUCUGGGACGGUACUGACGCUGAGACGCGAAAGCGUGGGGAGCGAACAGG